ACUUUUUUUUUCUCCAUAAAACUUGAACUUUUAUUUUUUCAUUAGUGUUGUCAAACUAUGAAUAUUAAUGUUAUUAGCAAACAAAUUUUGAACACGCCCUUAACAUCCAUAGGCACUUUGGCUCCUGGAAACGAAAUCAAUUAGGAUGCACUUCAAUCAUGUUGGAUCUAAAAAAAUAUUAGAUGUGUAAUAUUGACUUUAAAAAUUAUAAAAUUUUAUUUGAAGACUUUAAAA